AAGAAAGUGUCAGAGAGGCCAUGUACCUGGCUUGAAACUAGGAUAUGGGGGUUCAAUUCCCUCCUUUCUUG
rnacentral:tRNA from 2 species